AUACGGAGGAUCCGAGCGUUAUCCGGAUUUGUUGGGUUUAAAGGGUGCGCAGGCGGCCAUUUAAGUCAGCGGUUAAAUCGUGGGGCUCAACCCCAUUCUGCCGUUGAUACUGGGUGGCUUGAUUGCGGUCGAGGUUGGCGGAAUUCGUUGUGUAGCGGUGAAAUGCAUAGAUAUGACGAAGAACACCGAUUGCGUAGGCAGCUGACCAGACCGCAAAUGACGCUCAUGCACGAAAGUGCGGGGAUCGAACAGGAUUAGAUACCCUGGUAGUCCGCACAGUAAACGAUGAAUACUUGUUUUCGGCGAUAUAAUGUCGGAGGCAAAGCGAAAGCGAUAAGUAUUCCACCUGGGGAGUACGCCGGCAACGGUGAAACUCAAAGGAAUUGACGGGG
rnacentral:rRNA from 1 species